rnacentral:rRNA from 1 species
GUGAGGAAUAUUGGUCAAUGGACGAGAGUCUGAACCAGCCAAGUCGCGUGAAGGAAGACGGUUCUAUGAAUUGUAAACUUCUUUUGUGCAGGAAUAAAGUGGGUUACGUGUAACCUUUUGUAUGUACUGUACGAAUAAGGAUCGGCUAACUCCGUGCCAGCAGCCGCGGUAAUACGGAGGAUCCGAGCGUUAUCCGGAUUUAUUGGGUUUAAAGGGUGCGUAGGUGGAUUGAUAAGUCAGCGGUGAAAGUUUGCAGCUUAACUGUAAAAUUGCCGUUGAAACUGUCGGUCUUGAGUGCAAAUGAGGUAGGUGGAAUGUGUUGUGUAGCGGUGAAAUGCUUAGAUAUAACACAGAACUCCGAUUGCGAAGGCAGCUUACUGGGAUGCAACUGACACUGAUGCACGAAAGCGUGGGUAUCAAACAGGAUUAGAAACCCUUGUAGUCC